rnacentral:rRNA from 1 species
CCUACGGGUGGCAGCAGUGGGGGAUAUUGCACAAUGGGGGAAACCCUGAUGCAGCGACGCCGCGUGGGUGAAGAAGCGCCUCGGCGCGUAAAGCCCUGUCAGCGGGGAAGAAAAUGACGGUAACUGAAGAAGAAGCCCCGGCUAACUACGUGCCAGCAGCCGCGGUAAUACGUAGGGGGCAAGCGUUGUCCGGAUUUACUGGGUGUAAAGGGGGCGCAGACGGCGAUGCAAGCCAGGAGUGAAAGCCCGGGGCCCAACCCCGGGACUGCGUUUGGAACUGCGUGGCUAGAGUGCAGGAGGGGCAGGCGGAAUUCCUGGUGUAGCGGUGAAAUGCGUAGAGAUCGGGAGGAACACCAGUGGCGAAGGCGGCCUGCUGGACUGCAACUGACGUUGAGGCACGAAAGCGUGGGGAGCAAACAGGAUUAGAUACCCCGGUAGUC